UACAGAGACUGCAAGCGUUGUUCGGAUUCAUUGGGCGUAAAGGGUGCGCAGGCGGUCCGGUAAGUCGGGUGUAAAAGCUCGAGGCUUAACCUCGAUAGGUCAUUCGAAACUACCGGGCUCGAGGAUUGGAGAGGAGACUGGAAUGGUUGGUGUAGCAGUGAAAUGCGUAGAGAUCAACCAGAACACCGGUGGCGAAGGCGAGUCUCUGGACAAUUCCUGACGCUCAGGCACGAAAGCCAGGGGAGCAAACGGG
rnacentral:rRNA from 1 species